ACUUGUUUUCUACACAUAUACACAUUGUAUAAUUCUUGAAGCUGGAUACAUAUUUAUCAAUUACCAACAAAAAAAUUACUUCCGUAAAUAUAAUUGUUUUACUUGGCUCCUUUUUUACCAAUUCGUACACAGUGACAAGGCCGCCAUAUAUGCAAUCCGUUUUGUAAGUAGUCAUUUUCUGAAAUAAAAUGUUCGGAGUUUUUUAAAAUAACGUUUAUUUUGGCUCCACUAUUAAUUCUGUGGUGAUUACGACGGCUGUAAUUGGCUUGGCGAAUCAUCAGCGUGAUUGGGUACAAAGAUGACAUUAAGCGGACUGAUGGAGGAAGUAACACGCUCGGCUAUUUAAUUGGUUCUCAAUGGUCGAGACGGACGUGAGCGACCACGUGACCGCGGUGUUGGUAGUGCCUACACGACCACCACAGUGCUGCUGCUGGUGACCAUACGACGGGAGUAGCUGCUGAGAAUUUAGCCGAGGUACUGGUGUCGUGGACCAUGUGGCGGAGCUAUUGCCCCCGUUGCUGACCGCGUGCUCGGGAUGCUGUUUCCUCUGACAAGGAGUGCUGGCGAGAAUAUCUGAUGCUACAAGUGGUCCAAUUGUCAAGAGGCUGCUUAACACACGGAGGAAACUGAAAAUGCCGACUGCCUAGCUAAUGUGUAUCUGAAUUUAUGAAAUUUCGAUGCUGGUGAAAAACAAGCCCCUGUUGAAGACUCUCCGUGUGUAAGGAAUGACACUAACCCUACCUCAGUUGUUACUCUUACGUACAGUACCUUUAUUACACUAUUAUUUAAAUUACAAGCAGUGGCAUCAUUAUUGCUGACCUAUUACUGUCAAAAUUGCAGUUCCCAUUAAUAUGUACAAACUGUUAAGGUCGUUGUUUUCAGUAUUGCUGCAGUAACCACUAUAACAUCACAUACUAUCAUAUCUGGUACUAGUGUUGUUAGUGAAAAUCCACUUCCGUGUUUUUAUCACAGAAUAAACGUAUUGCCUU